UACGUAGGGGGGCAAGCGUUGUCCGGAAUCAUUGGGCGUAAAGCGCGCGUAGGCGGCCCGGUAAGUCCGUUGUGAAAGUCAAAGGCUCAACCUUUGAACGCCGAUGGAUACUGCCGGGCUAGAGUCCGGAAGAGGCGAGUGGAAUUCCUGGUGUAGCGGGUGGAAUGCGCAGAUAUCAGGAGGAACACCAAUAGCGAAGGCAGCUCGCUGGGACGGUACUGACGCUGAGGCGCGAAAGCGUGGGAAGCGAACAGG
rnacentral:rRNA from 1 species